rnacentral:rRNA from 1 species
CACUCUAGAGAGACUGCCAGGGAUAACCUGGAGGAAGGUGGGGAUGACGUCAAAUCAUCAUGCCCCUUAUGCUUAGGGCUACACACGUGCUACAAUGGGUAGUACAGAGGGUUGCCAAGCCGUAAGGCGGAGCUAAUCCCUUAAAGCUACUCUCAGUUCGGAUUGUAGGCUGAAACUCGCCUACAUGAAGCUGGAGUUACUAGUAAUCGCAGAUCAGACUGCUGCGGUGAAUGCGUUCCCGGGUCUUGUACACACCGCCCGUCACACCACGGGAGUUGGAGACGCCCGAAGCCGAUUAUCUAACCUUUUGGAAGAAGUCGUCGAAGGUGGAAGCAAUAACUGGGGU